GUAGCCAUAUCCAACAAAUCUGAAGCUUUGGUGCUCGGUAGUGUAUGCUGUGAUGUGUUAGUUGCUGAAGAGGAAACAGCCUCUUACAGACAAGAGGAACACCUUACAAAAAGAUUACAAAAUGGUUUGCUCGAAAUAUGGCCUUUUCAAGCUCUAACCAGAGAAACCAGAAGCCUACACAGAACAACGUGGCCAGACCCAUGUAGAGAUCAACAUCCAAUGUUAACGAUUUUCAGUGAAGUGUGUUCAAAUAAAAGCAUAAAAGCC